rnacentral:lncRNA from 1 species
AACAACCCUAACAUAGGGGAUUUUGUACGUGUAACGUUUAGAUGUUUGUGCACAAUACAUGGUACAAAGGGCUGAUCCCCCUGAGUACGUUAAGAAGAGUCUGUACAGUCUAAUGACUGUUAAGGUUAAGGUAAUAAUACUUAAACACCGUGGACAUAGUUCGUGGUCUUAAGACCCUUAGAUAUUUAAAGUUCGAACUUGUUUUCUAUUUUGAUUCGUAGAACAAGUUCUUUAUUAUUCAGUAUUCGUUGUUCACUCUCAUGUUGUUACUAUGCUAUCUUUAUGUCAGUGAAUAAUUGUUUGCUCACUCUUGCAAUUAAACAAUGCAGCUAAAGUCGAAAGAGGUGAUGAGCCAUCUACUAGCAAGGAAAAGGGCAAGAUGUCCAAGUGUUGAGAAAUUAAUUAAAGUUUAUUUAAAAGCAUGAAGUUAUAAGACUUAUUUUAUUUUAUAAUGUAUUCCGCAAACUGAUGUAAUAAUUUAAGGUUAGAUUACAUGGGAUUGUUUAUGAGAUGAUGUAACCCUUUAAUUGGAAAGAUUAUUGUUUUAAGUUAUUUAAUGUUUUAUCCUUUAUUAUGGGUAGUUAGAUGUAAUUAUUUUGAUAGUGAGCACCAAAUUCGGUGGAAAUGAAGUACCCGGAUUUGGGGGUGUCACAGGUUGGUAUCAAAGCCUUAGGUUAUGAACCUUAGGUGGGGAAAACCUUAGGAAGUAGCCUUUAAGGAAACAAAAAACAUAGAGGUGUUUAACUCUUAUCGGGUUUUAAGGAAUGGGUUAAGGCAUCCAUUGAAACUAAACAAUAAAAGACAUUAUGUGCUAUGUGUUAAUAACUUAUGUGCUCACGAGUAUCUAUAAUGUUAAGUAAAACUUAAAAUAUUUUGUUGUCAGGAUGUCUAACGAAGGAGGAUCCAGUCCAGCUAGAGAGGUGAUACCUCAGGUACUUAGAGAUGACGAACCCCGGGAUAUUCACGUAGUGCGGGAACAGUUGAUCCAGGAGGAUGUGCCUGUGACCGAUCCCGAGGAGGAUAGUCCUGAGGAAAUAGAGGAGGAUGAUGAUGAGGAGGAUCCUGAGGAGUUUCCACCAAACUCCGUAUCGGUUGAGAUGUAUGAUGCUUUGUAUGACCGUAACAUAGAGUUACAGGAUAAUGUUGAGGAGCUGAAGGAGAUGGUUGAGAUGCAUCACGUUGCGUUAGAGUAGAAGGAUGUAGAGAUUCAGGAACUUGAUUCAAAACUUGGAAACACAGAAUGAGAUCUAGUUCAUACCAAGGGUCAGCAUAAAGACCUGCUGGCAGUGAAUGAGAAGAUGAAGACUGACAUGCAGAAGUUGAAAGAUGACUUCAAAGAGGAAACAACUAAGCGUACAAGAGCAGAGGACGCUUGGAUGAAGGCGACUCAGCGUGCAGAUCGUGCUGAGGCUAAAGUUCAAGUGAAGAAAGCCAAGAUGAAGGAGAUGGAUUAUGCUUUUAAUUCUGCAAUUGAUAGGGCCCAGGAUCAAGUCCAUUAUUACCCAUCUCAGUUUGAAGACUCGCUGUAGUUCGUGAUUGAUCGUAGGACGACGUACCGUAUCAUGGAGGAAGAGCGUCGAGAGGCC